rnacentral:rRNA from 1 species
UACGAAGGGGGCUAGCGUUGCUCGGAAUUACUGGGCGUAAAGGGUGCGUAGGCGGGUCUUUAAGUCAGAGGUGAAAUCCUGGAGCUCAACUCCAGAACUGCCUUCGAUACUGGGAAGCUCGAGUCCGGGAGAGGUGAGUGGAACUGCGAGUGUAGAGGUGAAAUUCGUAGAUAUUCGCAAGAACACCAGUGGCGAAGGCGGCUCACUGGCCCGGUACUGACGCUGAGGUGCGAAAGCGUGGGGAGCAAACAGG